rnacentral:lncRNA from 1 species
GCGGCGAUUUCGGAGUGUCGGCACUAAUCUCUCGUUCGUUUUUUAGUUUUCGACGCAAUGCCGCUAAAAUUGAUCUCAUUUUGUAGAGGAAAUAACGGAGCAGUCCGCAGUAGAGUCCCCAUUUUUUCGGCUGAACGACAAAGGAGUGCGUAGCAGUUUAGUCGGCCAACUCGAGUGAUUUCGUGGUCUCGUAUGAAUGUUUUAGGCGUUUUCUUAUUUUAGAUGCUGUGUCGCAAAAUUGAUGUUGUCUUGUAGAGGAGAUAACGCCUAGAUUAACGAAGAGAUCUUGUCGAUUAUCGGCUCAACGAUAAAGGAGUGCCCAGCAAUCUAAGAGCGACUCAAGUUUCAGCCGAUUUUUUUUUUCGGAGAGAUGGCGCGUCGGUCACGAAGAUACAGGAAAUCAGCCGCGAAGUUCUUGUUUAAGACGGGGCUUCGUGCGUCGCCUAGCAACAGAGGUUUUUCAACAGGCCGUGUGGCGUGUGCAGGUGUGUUCUCUAUUGUUUCGACUUUCGAGCAUAGUCGUCUAGAUCAAAAGGGGAAAUAUUGCCGUUGUUCAGUCACUUCGAUUUGAAAUUUAGCUGCUAGCAUGGACAUGGAGCAGUUCAGUUGGAAUCUUAAUUGGCGAAUUAACUGAAACCAGAAAGUUUCCCCAUGAAAAUGGCUAUGUGGCAUCUAUUGGAAAGUGGAUUUGAUGCCAGUGUACUGAUUCCAGAUCUUCCUUGAAACAUGAGCCUUAAUGUAGCUGUGGGUCUGUCGAAUGUCUGGAGUGCUCCAUCUGAUGCCAGAAAGAGGAUAGAUUUGUUUCACAAAUGAAGUUGCAUGGUUGACAGUUCGGUCCAGGAAGUGAGGUGUAUAGGAAGAGUUGCCAGAGAAGACUUUGUCGUUGAACUGCUGACACGAGAAGGUUGGACGAAGAUGAUUCCUGAAUCGCUUGCUCAACUGACGAGCCAAAAAUUACGAGCCGAUGACCAACCGAGUGGAAUCCUGGGUACUUAAUCACACGUGGGCAACACAGUUUCAGAUCAAUUAUUUUCACAAGUGCAGAUUGAUUCCAAAUCUUCAGCUUCCCAGGCAGACACCCAUCCACAAAGCCAUGGGUGAUAGAUGAUAUUCACAGUGGGCACGACUGCGUUGUAAAUUAGUAUCACUUUACAAAGCCAAACAGAUUUAGAUCACGUGUCUAUUGUGAAAGAGAUCAUGUGUCUCAACGAAAAUGACUCUCUCCGUUUGCGACAUCAGACCUCCCCAUCUGUCCCCACAUCCCAGUCCCCAUUCUGAUGCAAAAAUCUUGGAAUCAAGUUGAACAUUUUGAACCAUCUCAGGACAAAGCUGAAGUUCUAGAUGCAUUAGAAAAUUCGUCGCAUUUUGGUUAGAGUAUCUUCGCCGUCCGAUCCAUCAGUUGGAAUGAUGCAUCCAUCAACAGAAUGUAUUAAAUAGGAAAGUAAUCACCAAAUGCCGACUGGACGAUUUCCAUGCAAGAUGAAUGAUAAAAUCCAAGGAGAUCUGGAGAACCAUUAGCUGAAUACAAUGAAUACUAUCAGUUCUCCAGAAAAAAGGCCAACAUAGGUUAAUAAUCAUGCUGUAUCAAAAGAGGUACAUACUUGAACGAGAUGUUAAAACCAUAUCAGCUGGAAGGGCACGUGGAAAUUUCAAAGGACGCUACUUGCACGUUACCUUUAGUCGUUGGUUCAUCUCGAAGAUAAAAUAUAAAAAAUUUUAUAAAUUGAA